AUUCCUUCGUAGCUUGUUGACAGGCCGCCGGGUGUACUCAUUUCUAUAUAUUCAAAGUGUACUGUGGAUUCUUUAGCUUCAUUAUUUUGUUGAUAUUUAGUGAUUGUUUACUGCAGAGCAAAAAUAAAAAUUGACAAAUCAAAGAUUGCAUUUUUUUGCAUUGCACAAAGCUGAAAACAUUCGACAAAGAAUAAUUAAUUAUUAGUGGACUCUCCGUGACCUCUCCAGCGAGAGCUGACCUAUUUCUACACAUUGACUCUACAAAAGGCAGGUCAAGGACGAUUCUUGGAGUGUUGACACGCAGUUUUCACCAAAACCCGUCACGCCUCAAUGGUUUUUAAUCCAGCUCCUGUCUAGCUUGCACCCAGGGGAUAUGACCGAGUAGACCACGCUACACCAAGGGCGUGAACUCUUGUUUACAAGCCGGAGUUGCUUCCCAUUCUGGACAAUUU